ACAGUGAUUAAAAUCAGAGAACAGUAACCACUGAGACAGGAAAGAUGAUUGUGAGUAAUAUUUUGGAGGUCGCAGCUGUCAGAAAUCAGUAGGAAUUGACUUCAGCACAUCUCUAGUUUCUCACACUGCGCUGCUGGGAUCUUGCUCCGCUCUUCUUCAGGUCUCUUCUAGAGUUCGUGACUGUAGUGGGUUUCUAAGACACAACUUUGUCACCAUUGAUUUUCCAGAGAUUUUCAGUCGGGUUUAGAGCAGGACUUUUCAUUAUUUCAGUGUUUUCAGCUUCAAGAACUGCUUUACCCGUUUUACAGUGUGACAGGAACAUUGUGUUUGGCUGAUUGGGAGAUGUUUGCAGGGAAGGAACCGUAUGUUGCUGAAGGAGGUUCUGAUGAAUAUUUACAUGCACCUGCCAUGUGUCUGUAUAAGAGACCAAACUCCUGAUACAGAGAACAUCCCUCAAACCAUCACAGCUCCUCCUCCAGCUUUCUCUGACUUCUUCACACACUCAGCUUCAGUGUAAUGCUGAUCAUAAUGUUUCCCAAAUAAACGAAACUUCUCCUCUCUCCACACAACAGUAAAGGAGAGUCGAGUCUUUUGAUUGGUUCUGCUGAUGAGAGGCUUGAUCUCUGCAGAGUGUGCUUUCAGUCUGACUUCUCUUAAACAACCGACUCAGAUCCAGAUCCUCUGCAGUGCUGAACCCAUUCCCCAUCCAGAGCCUCUGCAUUAUCCUGUCCUCUCUUUCAUUUGUCUCACGUGCUCGAUCAGCCUUUUUGAGG